ACGGGAGGCAGCAGUGAGGAAUAUUGGUCAAUGGCCGAGAGGCUGAACCAGCCAAGUAGCGUGCAGGAUGACGGCCCUAUGGGUUGUAAACUGCUUUUGUGCGUGAUUAAAGUUCUCCACGUGUGGAGAUUUGCAGUUAGCGCGCGAAUAAGGACCGGCUAAUUCCGUGCCAGCAGCCGCGGUAAUACGGAAGGUCCUGGUGUUAUCCGGAUUUAUUGGGUUUAAAGGGAGCGUAGGCGGCUGGAUAAGCGUGUUGUGAAAUCCCGGGGCUCAACCCCGCGUGUGCAGCGCGAACUGUUCAGCUUGAGAGUACGCCAGGCAGGCGGAAUUCGUGGUGUAGCGGUGAAAUGCUUAGAUAUCACGAAGAACCCCGAUUGCGAAGGCAGCUUGCCGGAGUACUUCUGACGCUGAAGCUCGAAGGUGCGGGUAUCGAACAGGAUUAGAUACCCUGGUA
rnacentral:rRNA from 1 species